GAACCACCUGAUCCCAUGCCGAACUCAGAAGUGAAACGAAGUAGCGCCGAUGGUAGUGUGGGAGUUCCCAUGUGAGAGUAGGUCAUCGCCAGGC
rnacentral:rRNA from 1 species